GAGAGGCGGGGCCCCGCGGAGGCGUGGCCCGUCUCCCUCAGCCGGCAUGGGGAAGGGGAUGGAGGCUGCAUGGCACACCGGGGCCCUAGGUGGACCCCCGGUCAUUCUCGUGCUUGCCCCCACCCAGUCCUUCAUGUGUGAGAGCUGCCGUGCGUGCUCCACGCUGAGCUCAGCCGUCCAGGGGUCCAGUGGUCACGGGGACCAGCCCUGUUUGUUCCCCAGGGAUGACAGGGAGCUUGCCGCCUUAUGCAGGAAGUAGCCCGCCCUUCUGGGUUCCAGCUGGCGGAAAUUCUUGGCACCUGCUUUCUCUGGGUGGUCACCCUGCCAGGCCAAACCUUCAGAGACACGGUUAUGCUCCUUGGGCCUUCUCUGGCAGAGCAGCCCCAGGUCCUCCAUCUGGCCUCCUAGGUCUGAGAACUGGGCCCUCUCAGCAUCGGGGCCGUUUUUCCACUUCACGACCUUUUCCCAGGCUCUCUAUGCCCCUCAGCCCGCAGGAAUGCCAUGCCUUAGGCGUCUGUGCCCUGAAUGUCGAUGCCGGCUCUGCCCGCCCUCUCUCCACUCCGCAGGUGCUCACGGUGGAUGCACGGAACCAUGGUGACAGCCCGCACAGCCCAGACAUGAGCUACGAGGCCAUGAGCCAGGACCUGCAGGACCUCCUGCCCCAGCUGGGCCUCGUGCCCUGCGUCCUCAUUGGCCACAGCAUGGGAGGCAAGACAGCCAUGUUGCUGGCACUCCAGAGGCCGGAGCUGGUAGAACGCCUGAUUGCUGUGGACAUCAGCCCAGUGGAGACCACACCGAGCUCCAACUUCCCAUCCUACAUGGCCGCCAUGAGGGCUGUAGACAUCCCAGAUGGGGUGCCCCGCUCCUCUGCCCGAAAGCUGGCCGACGAGCAGCUCAGCACUGUUAUCCAAGACUUGGCGGAGCGUCAGUUCCUGCUCACCAACUUGGUGGAGGCGGAUGGACGUUUCAUGUGGAGGGUGAACUUGGAAGCACUGGCCCAGCAUUUGGACAAGAUCAUGGCUUUCCCACCACAACAAGAAUCUUACCCUGGGCCAACCCUCUUCCUCCUGGGUGGAAACUCAAAAUACGUGCGCCCCAGCCACCACGCUGAGAUCAGGCGGCUCUUCCCUCGAGCCCACAUGCAGACUGUGCCCCAUGCCGGCCACUGGGUCCACGCCGACUGCCCCCAGGACUUUGUGGCUGCCAUCCGAGGCUUCCUGGCCUAAGAGUGGCUGAAGAGAGGAAGCAGGAAACCCCCGGCUUCCAGGCACUGUGGCCCACUCCAUGUUUCUGCGCAAAAGGACUCGGGCGGGCACCGAGAGAGCGUGAGGGUACGGAGGUGGUCAGACCUCAAGCUUUAAUGAAUAAAGACACUGCUGCUAAGGUCCCAGGCUGAGCUCUGUCACCGCCAGCGUCCCCACCAACCCAGGGGGAACCGGACCCAGGGGACCCUCGCAUUUCGGGGGCCCAGGGGGGUGCCCAGAGUGCCCCUGGACUCUCUCCGCAGCUGACUCUCGACCCGCUGCCUCACCAGCUGCUGCAUGUCCUCCUGGGGGCGGGAGAGCAGGUUCAGAGCCAGCCCUGUGCCCUUUCUCUUCUCCCCUGAGCUCCCUGGCCCGGCUGGCAUUCCCACACUACCUCCCAGGCCUCCACCUCCUGCCUCAGCCUCAGUUUCUCCUCCAGGACCUCCAGCAGCUGGGCCUCCACGGCGCGCAACUUGGCUUUGCAUGUGUCCAGCUCGGCCUCCAGUGCAAGCUUCCUGCAGGCGGCGGGGAGAGCGGCCCGAGGCUUGAACUCCACGUGCCUGCUGCGUGGCCACAGCCCCCUGCCUUGUGACAGGGUGAGCGCUUCCGUGGCUUUCCUUGUGGGAACACCUGACUGCUCACCUCCUCUCCUCUAGCAGGACAGAGCCCUGAGGGCCACCCUGCCAGACAUGACUCGUGCCACUGAGACACGGGUUCCUCCAACAACCAGACCAACAGCUUCCUUGGUUGAGCCCCAGGCGAAGAGGUGAGGUCGAACUGUACCCCCAGAUACGCCUUUCUGUUGAGACGGAGUCACUGUGUUUUGAGAGUCUGAUCUGUGCCGUGAUCCAGACAGGGCCCAGGGACCUGGUCUCAGGGACCUCCAAGGCCAGCAGGGAUGAAGCGCAGAUAAAAUCAGAAAAGAGUGUCAGGGGCUCCCGGAACAGUAGGAGCAUGAGGGAGGUCACAGGAGGUCACACCCAGCCCGUCACAGGAAGUUCCCUUAGGAGCUCGUCCAGAAUGAACCCUGCAGACCAGCAGGAGUCAGGAAAAAGACAUUUCUUUUAACUUUUUAAUCUUGAAACAGUUUCAAAACUGCUCUUCAGUGUCCAAAAAAAUAUCCUUUUAGGGUAAAAAAAAAAAAUCUAAUACGGUAUCAAACAUUGUACCCAGUCGUCGCAUCUCUCUGGUCCCCCUAGGUCUAGAACAGUUUGUGGCUUUUCUUUGAAUUUCGUGGCCUUGACAUUUUGAAGAUUACAGGGAAGUUAUUUUGUAGACCAUCCUCAAAUUCUGGCUUGUCCACGCCUUCCUUAUGAUUAGGCCACUGUUAACCCACUUUGGGCAGAGACAUCACAGAAGGGAUGCUGUGUUCUCCUUGCUAAUAUCGUUUGGAACCAUGACUGGUGGGACCAAUGCUGAGCGCUUGACCACAAUUAAUAAGCACUGGUGAAGGGAGGUACUUAGAGAGUAUGACACAUCCUUUCUCUUACCCCACUUUCACUCAUAGGAUUCAGCAUCCAUCAAUGUUUCUUGCCCGCAUUAAUUAUUACUACAGUGGUUCACAAAUGGGGGCGCCUGGGUGGCUCAGUCCAUUAAG